rnacentral:lncRNA from 1 species
GUAAAAUUACACCUGAUUUUCACUUAAACUUCUAGGACUUACUGGGCAGCUAAAGGGCUCCCCGCCCCCUGCACUGCUAUAAAAAUGCUUUAGACCGUAGGACAGAUCAGUGCUCAAAGUUGUCAUCAGGAUUUUUUCAUACACAAAGUUUGUCACUCUCACCUAUUUAAAUUAUACCAGUAUGACCCAGGUCACAGACAGUACAGCU